AGCAGUAGCCGCGGUAAUACGUAGGUGGCAAGCGUUGUCCGGAAUUAUUGGGCGUAAAGGGCUCGCAGGCGGUUUCUUAAGUCUGAUGUGAAAGCCCCCGGCUCAACCGGGGAGGGUCAUUGGAAACUGGGAGACUUGAGUGCAGAAGAGGAGAGUGGAAUUCCACGUGUAGCGGUGAAAUGCGUGGAGAUGUGGAGGAACGCCAGUGGCGAAGGCGACUCUCUGGUCUGUAACUGACGCUGAGGAGCGAAAGCGUGGGGAGCGAACAGGAUUAGAUACCCCUGUAGUCCCUGUCUCUUAUAU
rnacentral:rRNA from 1 species